AGGGAACGCUGGCGGCAGGCCUAACACAUGCAAGUCGAGCGGAUGAAGGGAGCUUGCUCCUGGAUUCAGCGGCGGACGGGUGAGUAAUGCCUAGGAAUCUGCCUGGUAGUGGGGGAUAACGUCCGGAAACGGGCGCUAAUACCGCAUACGUCCUGAGGGAGAAAGUGGGGGAUCUUCGGACCUCACGCUAUCAGAUGAGCCUAGGUCGGAUUAGCUAGUUGGUGGGGUAAAGGCCUACCAAGGCGACGAUCCGUAACUGGUCUGAGAGGAUGAUCAGUCACACUGGAACUGAGACACGGUCCAGACUCCUACGGGAGGCAGCAGUGGGGAAUAUUGGACAAUGGGCGAAAGCCUGAUCCAGCCAUGCCGCGUGUGUGAAGAAGGUCUUCGGAUUGUAAAGCACUUUAAGUUGGGAGGAAGGGCAGUAAGUUAAUACCUUGCUGUUUUGACGUUACCAACAGAAUAAGCACCGGCCAACUUCGUG
rnacentral:rRNA from 1 species